rnacentral:piRNA from 1 species
GGUGGGUGGAUGAAAGACCUGAG